AGUAUCUGUGUUAAAAUAGGAACUGUAUGAGUGGCUACCCAGUCUCAUCAGAAUUCAUACUGAAAGGGGCGAUCUCCAGUACCAUGAUGCCAGAAGAACAGUUGACCUGGAACUGACUAUUUUAGCUAGCAUGUAUAUGUCCUGUGCCCAAAUAGCUCAAUUCUCAAAGAUCCUUUAAAUUCUACAGGCAUCUUGCUCCCAGACUUGCCGCCAUCAAAAGCUUCAUGAGCGCCUCCUUUGGAGUCCCUAUUGCAACACAGUUAUCAGGAACUGCAAAGAGAUAAUUUUGUAACGCACAUAUAUGCCCACGUAUGAUUAAAGGUUGUUUAAACUUUUUUUUUCUGAUGAUUGCGACAAAACACAUCUCU
rnacentral:lncRNA from 1 species